AGUGAACGCUGGCGGUAGGCCUAACACAUGCAAGUCGAACGGCAGCACAGUAAGAGCUUGCUCUUACGGGUGGCGAGUGGCGGACGGGUGAGGAAUACAUCGGAAUCUACUUUUUCGUGGGGGAUAACGUAGGGAAACUUACGCUAAUACCGCAUACGACCUACGGGUGAAAGCAGGGGAUCUUCGGACCUUGCGCGAUUGAAUGAGCCGAUGUCGGAUUAGCUAGUUGGCGGGGUAAAGGCCCACCAAGGCGACGAUCCGUAGCUGGUCUGAGAGGAUGAUCCGCCACACUGGAAAUGAGACACGGUCCAGACUCCUACGGGAGGCAGCAGUGGGGAAUAGUGGACAAUGGGCGCAAGCCUGAUCCAGCCAUACCGCGUGGGUGAAGAAGGCCUUCGGGUUGUAAAGCCCUUUUGUUGGGAAAGAAAAGCAGCAGGUUAAUACCCCGCUGUUCUGACGGUACCCAAAGAAUAAGCACCGGCUAACUUCGUG
rnacentral:rRNA from 1 species